AUGCACCAUAUAGGGGAGAAGAGUCGAUAGAAAUAUCGAUUUAUAACAUACAUAAAGAAUAUCGAUGAUGAUAUGAUAUAUUUACAAGAUAAACACUAACAUCAACUCCAGGUAUCCAGUCAUUUUUUUCCAAUGCUCCGAGGUUCUGUUUGUAUCAUUUAAGCCCGCCUCUUACAGCUACCUGCACUCAUCCACCUGGAGCCUAUCUAAUCCCCAUGCCUUGUCCACUUCAUCCAACAGCUUCAAAUCCGCGAGCGCCUCAUUACCCAACACAUCCUUCAAGCUCACCAACUUAAAACUAGUCAACGGUGACGUCUCGUCACGUGAAGGUAGCUGAUUCGCAUCAUCAUGCACAACGAUCAGUCCAUGGGGGAAAUCAGCCGAUAACCGCGUUCCCACCGCAGCCACGCCAUCUGUAUUUGACACUGCGUCAAUUCGGCCGUCGCUCGACACCCC
rnacentral:sRNA from 1 species